GACGUCGGGCGCGAGCGUUGUCCGGGUUUAUUGGGCGUAAAGAGCUCGUAGGCGGCUUGUCGCGUCGGCUGUGAAAACCCGCGGCUCAACUGUGGGCGGGCAGCUGAUACGGGCAGGCUGGAGUUCGGUAGGGGAGACUGGAAUUCCUGGUGUAGCGGUGAAAUGCGCAGAUAUCAGGAGGAACACCGGUGGCGAAGGCGGGUCUCUGGGCCGAUACUGACGCUGAGGAGCGAAAGCGUGGGGAGCGAACAGG
rnacentral:rRNA from 1 species